UACACAUCGCCCGUCACUCUCAUCAAAAGAAGAGAAAAGUCGUAACAUAGUAGGCGUACCGGAAGGUGCCUCUAGAAAAUUAUUAAAAUUAAA
rnacentral:rRNA from 1 species